UACGAAGGGGGCUAGCGUUGCUCGGAAUCACUGGGCGUAAAGGGCGCGUAGGCGGCCAUUCAAGUCGGGGGUGAAAGCCCAGGGCUCAACCCUGGAAUUGCCCUCGAUACUGUUUGGCUAGAGACCGGAAGAGGUUAGUGGAACUGCGAGUGUAGAGGUGAAAUUCGUAGAUAUUCGCAAGAACACCAGUGGCGAAGGCGGCUAACUGGUCCGGUUCUGACGCUGAGGCGCGAAAGCGUGGGGAGCAAACAGG
rnacentral:rRNA from 1 species